ACUGCUGGAAAGUUAAAGAUGGCUGCAUAAUACGACCUGACACCAAGAACUGAAAGACACUGGGACAGUCUUGGUUGUCACAGCUCAGACAGGGUUUGACAUUCAGAGAGCCAGCCUCACAGUGGCCUGCAUUUUUGUGUCCACCUAUGCUCUGUGUGUGGAGACCUAAGUUCAAGGUGAUGGGGUCAGGGCUGGGGCUUUUCAGAGGUGCAGGCCUCCUAGUGUAACUGACACUUGGAAGUGAGCAGAGGGGACCAGGGUUCUUCCCUUCUACCAUGCAAGGACACAGUGGCUCACAGCCAUCGGAGACCCAGGAAGUGGUCCCCGGGCAAACACCACACCUGCCAGCUCCUUCACCUUGGGCUCCCCCAGCUCUGAAACUGUGAAAUCAAUUUCUGUUAAUGAGCCACACCGCCUUUGUUCGUCUGUUCUCAGAGCCAAGUCAAACUCUGAGGUGCCCCUCCCAGAGUGCCGGCUGGAUGCCCUCAGCCAGGAGCUCACAGGGCACAAGAGCAGGAACAAAACUGACUGGAACUAAUUACUAAUGGGCAACAUGGAAAUCGUUGACCAAUGGCUGAGCAGCAACGACUGCAAUUCUCUAGCAUGGUGAAGACCUAACUGAGAGACCUGCAGUUACAGAAGGCUGACAGAGCUCAAAGUCUUAGCCCAAGCAAAAUGACCGCAAAGGCAGUGAAAGGUCAAGUUUAUGGUUAUGGGCACAUUAACUUACUUUCUAUUUACCAAGAUUUAAUAACAAUAACAAACAUGCCACAACAGUGUGAAGAUGAUCCAAGUCACGUCAACACCAACACCAGCUCCAAAACCAAUGUCAACACCAACAACAACAACAAAGGAAGAAAGAAAGAAAGAAAGAAAGAAAGAAAGAAAGAAAGAAAGAAAGAAGGAAAGAAAGAAAGAAAGGAAGGAAGGAAGGAAGGAAGGAAGGAAGGAAGAAAGGAAGAAAGAAAGAAAGAGAGAAAAAAUCGAAAUAUACUGAGGAAUAAACCUAAGGAAGUACGUGUUCAGAUUAAAUUCCUAUAGAACCUGAAAAGCACAAAGGAAUUUUGGGAGCACGAAUAGCAGAAUGCACACCUUAUUCCCAGAUUGGGAGACUCGAUUUUGUGAACACGGCAAUGCUACUAAAAUCAAGCUUCAGCUUCAGUGAAAAUUUCUUCAAUGGCCUUCACAGAAAUAGAAGAUAAUCCUGCUGUUCAUACAGAGCAGAGAAGGUCGAGACCUGGAAGCGUUUUAACACCUAGUUUUAAAGUACAGUACAGGGCUGCAGUCACUAACCGGUAUGACACUGAAUGAGUCAGUGUGACAGGAUACAGGACACAGACACAAGUCAGCUGGGUGACUCAGGAUAGACAGAGACAAGACUUCGUGGAUAGGGCUGGAAUUACACGGAAAUAAUCCCAAGACAACAAGAGCUGUGUGAAAUGGAAAUUCUUCUUCCUGCACAGCCAAGCAAGCAAUCAGCAGUGAAAGGCGCCACAGAGGGCACGAAGCCUUUGCCACAGGACAGCCAGCAGGGGAACGACAUAUAGAAUACAUAAAUUACUUAAAAUAUUUAACACCAUGUUGUCUUUCUGGGUCUAGGAUCCCAAAGUCAAGAUGAUCUUUUCUAGUCCAGUCCAUUUGCUUAAAAUUUUCAUGAUGAAUAGCUGAGUAGUAAAUGAAAAUGAAUCACAUAGUCUUUAUCCGUUCUUCAGUUGAGGAAUUCUAUGUUUCCAAUGUCUGGCUAUUACGAAUAAAGCUGCUUUGAACAUAGUUGAGCAAGUGUCUUUGUGAGAUGGUAUAGCAUCUUUUGGGCAUACGCCUAGGAAUGGUAUAGCUGGGCCUUGAGCCUUAACUAUUUCCAGUUUUCUGAGAAACUGUCAAAUUGAUGUCCAAAGUGGUGGUACAACUUUGCAUUCCCAGCCACAGAACCUUCAACCCACCAUUUUCUCUGCUUAAGGAGGUGCAAGGCUAAAUAGGGAGCAGAAAAUGAGGGAAUGGCUAAACGAUAACGGGCCCACCCUGUCUCCCAUGCCAGGAAAGCCUACCUCUGGCACUAUUAAUGAUAUCGUGUUCUGCUUGCAGACAGAAGCCUAGCAUAACUCUCAUCCGAGAUUCACUCAGCAGCUGAUGGAAACAGAUGCAGAGACUUACAGCCAAACAUCAGGCAGAACUCAGGGAAUUUUAUGGAAGGGGAGAAAGGAUUGAAAGACUCAGAGAGGACAAGGAUACCACCUGAAAACUUACAAAAUCAACUAAGUAGGCACAUAAGGGCUCACAGAGAACCACCGACCAGACAGCACCCAUGGAAUGGACCUAGAUCCCCUGCACACAUGUAACAUAUAUGUGGCUUGGUCCUCAUGUGCGCCCAUGAACAGCAGGAGCUGUUAACGGCUGUCUCUGACUCUGUUGUCUGCCUUUGGAUUCCUUUCUCCUAACUGGACAGUCUUAUCUAGCCUCAGUAGAAGAUGUACCCAGUCCUACAAAUUGAUAUGCCAAAAUGGUUUGAUAUCCGUGGGACAUCUCCCCUUUUCUGAGGAGAAAAGGACGAGGGCAUAGGGAACAGGAAUGGGGAGUGAGGUCAUGGGAGGAGAAGAGAGAGGAGAAGCUCCAUUUGGGGUACAAAGUAAAUAAAUAAGUUAAUUAAUGGAAAAAAUAAUACUAAACCAUGCAUCCAACCAAUAUGAGCAGGUGAACUGAAGAGUUAGCUUCCAAUAUGGCAGAGUAAACCCUGAAGGCAUCAGUGAGGAGGCUCCCUCUGUGAACUCAAGGGGGUUCAUCUCAAACACAGGGACUUGACCUUCUGCUGCUCUGUCAUCUGAGGGUCCACGGACAGGACAUUUGCAGAGCUGGGGCUGCUCUGGUACACCUGAGGUCCGUGUGAUUCGUUUCCUGCCAUCUUGUGUCCUGAUGUGGGAAGGAGAACCAGGCUCCAUCACAGCCGGUCCUGAGCCACCCCUCUGCUCCUAUUGAAUGAACUCCAUGCCUCUGGAGUCCACAGUCUCCUUCUCAUUAGCUUUGAGGACCCUCAUGCUCUCAACAGAGCCAGGUCUCAUUCCCUACAGACAAAUGCACACAAGAGACACCAUGAGUCCACCUGCCAGCCUGUGUUCUGAGUUCAGUGAAGGUUGCCCUGGCCGCCCUGGCUGCCCUGGCUUCUGGCUUUAGCCCAGCUUCCCUCCCAAUGGGAACUCUGCCUUCCACCCUCCACUCUAGAGCUCCUGGACUUAGCCACCUGCCUGAGACACAGAAGGUCAUCUCUGGAGAGGGUUUCACUUCCUGCGGGGCUGUCCAUACGCCAUGGCCCUGGAGACAGGUGCUGGUCCCACAAUGGCAUCUUUGUGCUCUCUGGAGCAAAGGUGGACAGGCUCAAGUAUCCAUAAACAAUAUCAGUGAGGACUCUGACAAGCGCUGGGCUGUGCGGAGGAGCUGGCGUGGCCCGGCCUUGAUGUGAGAAUGGAAGUCACUGAGCAGGAAACCUGAGGAGCUGGGUGUGAGCGAGUGGGGCGGCGCUCUGUGGGAGAGAUCAGGAAGCAGGUUAGCAGCUCCGCAUCAUGGGCGAGGUCUCUGUACCUGUCAGGUUGUCCUUCAUACGAUGCCUGGAUCGUUCCUGUACGCAUGUCCCCACAGAGGCACAUGUGUCUCAGUCCUUGGACAGGAGAACAACAGUGAGCCAGGGGUUCACUUGGCUGGAAACCAUGGAUUUCUCCGGAUGUCUCUGUUGGUCACUUCUCCUGCCUGUGUCUCAGCAGCUGCAUUUCCCCAGUGUCGUCGGUGAUGUUCCUAUGCAUGCCGGAACUCAAUGGCAGCAGACAGAGCCCAUGCAGUUGUGAAUGGACUGGAUUUGUCUCCUCAGGUGUCUGUGCAGGUGUGGGUUGUUGCUGCAAGUGCUGAUGGGUGACAUUAGAGUUCCGUGUGACUGCAGUUGACACUGCCUAACAGGCUGAGGGACUAGUGGCUUCCCAGACCAGUGCCUGUGUCUCCUUUUGUGUUUCUCUGUUACACAGUCUUGAAAAACAGGUGUGAGGUUAAUAAACUCACUGUCCUCUGUGGAUCUCAAGUGUGGUCCUGUUUUGGGAGGCUGCAGAAUGAGGCUGAGGCUGGUAGCAGUUAGUGCCUCCUUCAACUUUACCUCAUUAUGGCCCCUCGCCCCUUCUGUCUGUUACCUUGAGACCAUAGAUGGCCACCUCCUCCACUGAACCUUCUCUGCCAUGAGGCUCUGACUCACCACAGGCCCACAGCCAUGAGACCAAUCGGUCAUGGGAAGAGCUUCUGAAACCUGGAGCCAAAAUAAAUCCUCCCUCCCUCACUUUGUUCUGUGUUGUGUUUAACCCAGUGAUGGAAAUCUGGCUAACACAGCCUCAGUCUGCAGGGAUGGAAACUGAGAGGA
ensembl:lncRNA